rnacentral:rRNA from 1 species
GACGAACGCUGGCGGCGUGCUUAACACAUGCAAGUCGAACGGAAAGGCCCUGCUUUUGUGGGGUGCUCGAGUGGCGAACGGGUGAGUAACACGUGAGUAACCUGCCCUUGACUUUGGGAUAACUUCAGGAAACUGGGGCUAAUACCGGAUAGGAGCUCCUGCUGCAUGGUGGGGGUUGGAAAGUUUCGGCGGUUGGGGCUGGACUCGCGGCUUAUCAGCUUGUUGGUGGGGUAGUUGCUUACCAAGGCUUUGACGGGUAGCCGGCCUGAGAGGGUGACCGGCCACAUUGGGACUGAGAUACGGCCCAGACUCCUACGGGAGGCAGCAGUGGCGAAUCUUGCACAAUGGGCGGAAGCCUGAUGCAGCAACGCCGCGUGCGGGAUGACGGCCUUCGGGUUGUAAACCGCUUUCGCCUGUGACGAAGCGUGAGUGACGGUAAUGGGUAAAGAAGCACCGGCUAACUACGUG